rnacentral:rRNA from 1 species
GAUGAACGCUGGCGGCGUGCCUAACACAUGCAAGUCGAGCGAACAGACGAGGAGCUUGCUCCUCUGACGUUAGCGGCGGACGGGUGAGUAACACGUGGAUAACCUACCUAUUAGACUGGGAUAAUUUCGGGAAACCGGAGCCAAUACUAGGUAAUAUAUUGAACCGCAUGGUUCAAUAGUUAAUGUAGGUUUUGCUGUCACUUAUAGAUGGAUCCGCGCCGCAUUAGCUAGUUGGUAAGGUAACGGCGUACCAAGGCUACGAUGCGUAGCCGACCUGAGAGGAUGAUCAGCCACACUGGAACUGAGACACGGUACAGACUCCUACGGGAGGCAGCAGUAGGGAAUCUUGCGCAAUGGGCGAAAGCCUGACGGAGCAACACCGCGUGAGUGAUGAAGGUCUUCGGAUCGUAAAACUCUGUUAUUAGGAAAGAAAAGAUGUGUAAGUAACUAUGCACGUCUUGACGGUACCUAAUGAAAAAGCCACGGCUAACUACGUG